UGGGGAAUUUUGGACAAUGGGGGAAACCCUGAUCCAGCCAUCCCGCGUGUGCGAUGAAGGCCUUCGGGUUGUAAAGCACUUUUGCCUGGAAAGAAACGUCAUGGGUUAAUACCCCGUGAAACCGACGGUACCUGCAGAAUAAGCACCGGCUAACUACGUGCCAGCAGCCGCGGUAAUACGUAGGGUGCAAGCGUUAAUCGGAAUUACUGGGCGUAAAGCGUGCGCAGGCGGUUCGGAAAGAAAGAUGUGAAAUCCCAGAGCUCAACUUUGGAACUGCAUUUUUAACUACCGGGCUAGAGUGUGUCAGAGGGAGGUGGAAUUCCGCGUGUAGCAGUGAAAUGCGUAGAUAUGCGGAGGAACACCGAUAGCGAAGGCAGCCUCCUGGAAUAACACUGACGCUCAUGCACGAAAGCGUGCGGAGCAAACAGG
rnacentral:rRNA from 1 species